rnacentral:rRNA from 1 species
CUACGGGACGCUGCAGUGAGGAAUUUUGCGCAAUGGGGGAAACCCUGACGCAGCAACGCCGCGUGAGUGAUGAAGGCCUUCGGGUCGUAAAACUCUGUCAAGUGGGAAGAACCUAUGUAAGGUUAAUACCCUUAUGUACUGACGGUACCACUGAGGGAAGCACCGGCUAACUCCGUGCCAGCAGCCGCGGUAAUACGGAGGGUGCAAGCGUUAUUCGGAAUUAUUGGGCGUAAAGGGCGCGCAGGCGGUUUUGUAAGUCAGAUGUGAAAGCCCGGGGCUUAACCUCGGAAGUGCAUUUGAUACUGCAAGACUUGAGUAUGGGAGGGGGAAGUGGAAUUCCUGGUGUAGAGGUGAAAUUCGUAGAUAUCAGGAGGAACACCAGUGGCGAAGGCGACUUCCUGGACCAAUACUGACGCUGAGGCGCGAAGGCGUGGGGAGCAAACAGGAUUAGAUACCCGGGUAGUC